UACGUAGGGACCAAGCGUUGUUCGGAUUUACUGGGCGUAAAGGGCGCGUAGGCGGGAUGGCAAGUCGGUCGUGAAAUCCUUCGGCUCAACCGAAGAACGUCGAUCGAUACUGCUGUUCUUGAGGGUUGCAGAGGAGACUGGAAUUCCCGGUGUAGCGGUGAAAUGUGUAGAGAUCGGGAGGAACACCGGUGGCGAAGGCGGGUCUCUGGACAGUUCCUGACGCUGAGGCACGAAGGUCAGGGGAGCAAACGGG
rnacentral:rRNA from 1 species